GUGGGGAAUAUUGGACAAUGGGGGGAACCCUGAUCCAGCCAUGCCGCGUGUGUGAAGAAGGCCUUUUGGUUGUAAAGCACUUUAAGUGGGGAGGAGGCUUACCUGGUUAAUACCUGGGCUAAGUGGACGUUACCCACAGAAUAAGCACCGGCUAACUCUGUGCCAGCAGCCGCGGUAAUACAGGGGGUGCAAGCGUUAAUCGGAUUUACUGGGCGUAAAGCGCGCGUAGGUGGCCAAUUAAGUCAAAUGUGAAAUCCCCGAGCUUAACUUGGGAAUUGCAUUCGAUACUGGUUGGCUAGAGUAUGGGAGAGGAUGGUAGAAUUCCAGGUGUAGCGGUGAAAUGCGUAGAGAUCUGGAGGAAUACCGAUGGCGAAGGCAGCCAUCUGGCCUAAUACUGACACUGAGGUGCGAAAGCAUGGGGAGCAAACAGGAUUAGAUACCCCGGUAGUCC
rnacentral:rRNA from 1 species